AAUAUUGGACAAUGGGGGGAACCCUGAUCCAGCCAUGCCGCGAGUGUGAAGAAGGUCUACGGAUAGUAAAGCACUUUAAGUUGGGAGGAAGAGUUGCAGGCUAAUACCUUGCAAUUUUGACGUAACCAACAGAAUAAGCACCGGCUAACUUCGAGCCAGCAGCCGCGGUAAUACGAAUGGUGCAAGCGUUAAUCGGAAUUACUGGGCGGAAAGCGCGGGUAGGUGGUUCGUUGAGUUGGAAGUGAAGGGCCCGGGCUUAACCUGGGUAUGGCUUUCAAAACAGACGGGCUAGAGUACGGUAGGGGAUAGUAGAAUUUCCUGUGUGGCGGUGAAAUGCGUAGGUAUAGGAAGGAACAUCAGUGGCGAAGGCGACUACCUGGACUGAUACUGACACUGAGGUGCGAAAGCGUGGGGGGCAAACAGG
rnacentral:rRNA from 1 species